rnacentral:tRNA from 1 species
GUCUUGGUAGUACAGUGGUCAGCACACUGGGCGCUUAUUUGGGAGAUCCGUGGUUCGAGUCCCGGCCAGGGCU